GGCUGGGCACACAGGGGGCACACAAAUGGGGACGAAGUCUGAGCGCACUGGGAAUGAGCACACAGGGCACGUGCACACUGGAGAUGAUCACCGUCACCAUCACCAUCAUUAUCAUCAUAUCUAAUCUUUAAACGGACCCCAUGCCAGAAGGCAAUUAAGUGCCCUGUCUACAUUAGCUCACUUAAUUCUCCUGACAGCCUUUUAAUGCAUGCACUUUACAGGUGCAGAACCCAGAACACAGGGGGUACGUUGACUUGCGCCCCGACACAAGGCCACACGAGCAGGGACUGAGUAGCCAGGAUUGGAAGCACAGCGUGACUGCCCACUCUCGGGUCUGCGCCCUUCAGGGAUGUUCAGACGGACAUGGUUUGCCCCGGCGAAGCCUGGAAACAACUCACACAAUCCCGAGAGUGAAACACUGUGGGGCAGGGAAAUCAGGCAGUGGACAAGCCCAGGCCUCCCAGUGCAUGAAGCUCACGAGAAGAAAACUUCAAGUCACACAAUUUACACAACGUAAUUCCGUUGUGAAAGUCCAAAAACUGGCAAAAUCCGGCCAUCUUUCGCUUAGCAAUGGGUCUGCGUGCGGUAAUAUCUUAAACAAGCUUCUCUGUGACCCUCAACUAGAGAAGAAAACAAACGGUGAUUAGGAGCUUCUAGACUCUGGCUCCUUCCCGUAGCGCCCUCCUCAGAAUGUCUCCCCUGCUCUCAACUCCAGCCCCAGAUGACCCUCCACCCCAGCCAGGUGCCCUGGCUCCACCAAAUGGGAAAAACAAUCCACAAAUUUCCAUUUACGGCGCAUGUCGGUUUGUGCAAAAAUAUCACAGGUCAUUAUCUUUGUUUAAAUUAACUUGAGGGGCGCCUGCGUGGCUCAGUCGGUUAAGCAUCCAACUUCGGCUCAGGUCAUAAUCUCACGGUUCAUGGGUUCAAGCCCCGCGUCGGGUUCUGUGCUGACAGCUCAGAGCCUGGAACCUGCUUUGGAUUCUGUGUGUCCCUCUCUCUCUGCCCCUUCCCUAUCAUGAUCUGUCUCUCUCUCUCUCUCUCCUCUC
rnacentral:lncRNA from 1 species